GACGAAGGAUGCAAGCGUUAUCCGGAUUCAUUGGGUUUAAAGGGUGCGUAGGCGGCCUAAUAAGUCAAUGGUGAAAUCUCCUCGCUUAACGAGGAAACUGCCAUUGAUACUGUUGGGCUUGAGUACAGAUGCUGUGGGCGGAAUAUGACAUGUAGUGGUGAAAUACAUAGAGAUGUCAUAGAACACCGAUUGCGAAGGCAGCUCACAAAACUGUAACUGACGCUGAGGCACGAAAGUGCGGGGAUCAAACAGG
rnacentral:rRNA from 1 species